CCUGCCGGGGUCCGCGCGAGCCGCACCGGGCGGCUGGGGCCAGCGCAUCCCUCCCGCAAAAGUUUAACGAACGCUGGCACCCCCGGGCCUCGGGCGCUGUGGGCUGCACCUCCGGUUCCUGUGGGAGGUUUGCGCCUCAUGGUCCCGGCAACGUCUCUCUUUGUCCCCAACUCAGAGAAUCAGGAUUUGGGGCGUGUAAUUGAAGCAGGAGUCCGGUCAUGGCUGUGGAGUGGCCAUCGCCGUGAACAGUGGGGGCGUCUUCUGAGGAAUGGCCUUCAGAAUGCAAGUCACAUCUGCUAAUACCUUCAGUGCUGACGGCUGCUCUUGAAGGUGGACGUGAUGUUUGGAACCAUCCAGAAGUCAUCUGGACUCCAGUGAAGAAGUCAGCGAUCAAGCCAGGGAGCGAUUACCCCUCCCGGGUUGCAGCUGAGGAAACAAGCCGCACGGCCUCAGGACCACCCAGAGAGCAGAGGCCUAGGACCGGGGCGCAGGCUUUCCCUUCUGGUCCGUGGAGCUUGCCUGGAGCACAGCUGAUGUGCAGAGCCCUCUGGUGAUGCUCUGCAGAGAGGCUCUGGAGGAAGCCAGGGGACAGGAGACCUCCUGCGAGAGAGAAGAGGUCCAGUGACAAGACAGAAGUGGAGAAAAGGCCCAGGGCAGAGGACCCGGCAGCAAGCCCACUGUGGCCCCAGCCCAGCAGUCAGCCUCCUCUGCUUUCCUCUGGGACAUAGGCUGCAGGCAGAUUUGUCAGGCCAGCCCUAGGAGCGGGGUGACCAGCUAGCCCUAGCAAGGUGACUCCUCAAAUUUAACAGUCAGCGAUGAGAGCAGCCAGGCAGCAGAGGGUGGGGAGUCGGGGCAUGGAGCACGCCGCCCUGGCUGGCUGCGGGCACGCUGCCUCACAGCGCUGUCCCUGGUGUGAGCAGCUCCCUAAGUAAACCCAGUGACCUCCCGUCCGUGGGACAGUGCUGUGUGGGGCAUCUCGUUGGGGUCGGUGGGGAUUACCUUUGAAGCUGGAGCCGUCAUCUGUCUCUCGGCGCUCACGCCCAGACCAUCAGACAGUCCUGGGUAAGAACGGACCUUCUGCACCCUGGAGAACGCGCCCAUCAGGAGCGCUCCUGGCGGUCAGACUUACAAGCAGAAGUGCAUAAACCCCGGGGCUGGCAAGUCAACCCGGGUCUCUGGGACCUGGGCUCGGCCAGUGGAGGAAGUGAGCAGGGGGUCGCUGCCUCUGGGUUCCCCUGGAAACUGCUUCACAGAUCACGCUGCUCAGGCCUCCCGUUCAGAGACUGUUCCAGAACAUUUGCUAUUUGUCAUGGUUAGGAGGUGGGUUAUCCUGGUUAAUCAUGUCUUCUGGUUAUAGGUGAGUUAUUAGUUAUCAUUCAUGGAGCACAACAUGUCAAAAAGGAUUAGAACGCUACAAAAUGCUCUGAACAGUGAAUUACACAGAACAUAAUCCAAUCUAUCUUUUAAAAUACUGACGCCACUUUUAUUUCGUUAGGAACGUGAUUAUGAACCCCACGGACCAAAGAACUGGUAAAACAUGCAAAUGCUAGUUAAGAGAAUGCUGGACAAACAGCUUCUCCUGAACUUCCCACAUCUUGAUUCUGUCAUCUAUGAAUGUUCUUAAAGGGAGCUGAGUUUGUUUGAAGACGAUUAAGAUUCAAUGAGCAAAUAGAAGAGGCAACUUAGACCAACUCCACAUCCAACACAGAAUUCCCCUCUAAAUUUCCUGACCAUUUUUUUUUUCCUGCCUUUUCUCAAGAAUCCUUGGUACCAAGGAUUCUUCCCAGUUUCCUUCCAGCUAAGCCUGUCACCUCCAUUUCCUGCAAACUUCCUCAAAUGUUUGCAGGUCAUCCUUUGAAUAUUCACUUGUUUGGGGGGCUCCAGAGAGAACUGUAACAGUAGAUGCGGUGAGUCCGGUACCAAGUGCCUCAGGACCACCACCUGCUCCUCCUGCGCUGCUUACUUCCGUGGUAGUGCCUAGGAGCUCUGGCUCUCUCCAGGGUCAUUCUCCCUGGGUCUGAGUCCUGGCCCUGCCACUUCUUACUUGGUGACAACAAAGAACCUCUUGGCAACAAAGAACCUCUCAUGCUAUUAAAGGGGGGAAAUCGUGCUGUCAGCGUCACAGCCUGCCAGGUUUAUGGCAGUUGAGAUCAUGCAUACAUAGUAAAUACAUUGACCUGCAACGUACUGAAUACUCAGUAAACAUACCAGCUUGGAGGACAGUGAUCAGGGACACAGAUGAUGAAGUCUGAGUGGCUGGGUUCACAUUCCAGCUCAGGUUCAAAUUUUGACUCCCAUCACCUCCAAACAGCCUUGGGUGAGUAGCUAAAACUCUGUGUGCCUCAAUUUUCUUACCUGAAAAAGGGAGGUCUAAGGUUUCUGUGAGGUUUAAAUGAGAUAUUAUACGUAAGGUGCUUGGAACAGACCCUGGAAAGUAAAAAGGGCCAUAUAAGUGAGAGCCAUAGUUAUUAUUAUAGCUUGAAAAGUCAUCUUAUCUUUAAAAGGAGUCACAUCGGAGGCUGGCCCAUGCUGGAGCCAUGGGCACCAACACGCCGGUUCCCGCAGCCCUCACCACCUGAUGGUCUGUGCGUCACCUGUUCUCGCUGCUUGCAUUUUUGUAUCUCAGACUGCUCCCUUAGCAGGGCAUCGUGAAGAUGGCAAGUGCUUCAAGAAUCCCGGGUCUUUGUGCUCACAUCUCUCUCUCCUCUGAACUAUUUGAAGUCUGCUUUCUUAGUUUCUGGAUAGCUUAACUACAUAAGUUCUCUCCAUCUUUGGCUUGAGGAUUGCCUCGUCCAAAAACUGCUUGGAUCCUUGAGGGAGAACCAACCUCCCACCACACUGUACCCACCCCUAGUGGGUGGGAGGCACUGCAUGGCCCAAGUGUGUUCAAUAUCCCUGUUCAAUAUCCCUUACUCCCUGUGAGCCUGUAAGGCCUUCAAGACAGGGCUGUGCUAAUUGAUUUUCCUAUAUUUAUUGGGUUCGGGCACCGUUAAGAGUAAUGCCCAGCUGCUUCAUGCUCUUGUCCCGCUGCCAGUUGGCAAGAAAUUCUUCCCUUUUUAGAAGCACUUAGCGCAGGGUAGGUGCUUAAAGAUGUUUCUGGAGUAAAUGCGAUGUUAACCUGGCCCAGCAGCCCCGUCUGUGAGAAAAAGGAUAAUGUGGAGAACCUUGUUUAAACUGCAGAGUAUUUCCAAAUGGUUAUUACCAUUGCUUCUAAAGCAGCAAAAUUACUUUUCCAAGACCUUUGUUUCUAUUUCCCAGUGGGCAUGUCUCUAAAGAAAAAUGAGAAUUAAGGCUGGAAGAGAAAAUAUCCUUCUUUAUUUUUCUAUCUUAUUACAGUUUAGAGAUUCAGUUAUUUACUAAAAUAAAAUACAAACUUGUACUUUGUUUUUAAUAAAAUGAGACUUACACCAGAUGUACAGAGAGUUAAGAGAUUUCCAUUGCUCCUAAAUAUUGCCUUUAGGCCAGUUUUAUCACUAAAGGAAAGCACUGAGUUAUUUCUUCCCAUUGUUAUCCCUUCUUCCAGUUCCCACCUCCAGCUUCUCCACGUGAUUAUUUUAGCCUGAUUUUUAUGUGCAAUGGAAAUGUUAAGCAAAGGCACCACAAACAAAAUCAAGAGCAGACAACUGGGGAAAAAAAAUCAUCAAGUUGUAUUAUAGACAAAAUAUAAGUAUCGUUAAGUUAGUAAGACAAAGGCAUAACUCCAGUAUAGAAAUGGGCAAAAAAUUGGAACAGGCAGUUCACAGAUGAAGAAAUACAAAUGUUCCAUAUGUAUUUAAAGACUGCUUAUCACUAGUAAUCAAAGAAAUUAAAAUGUAAAAUGUAAUAUGAUUUUUUUUCCAACCAUCAGAUUGACAAAAUUGAAGAGAAUAAAAAUCACCAAUAUUACCCUGGAGUUGUGGAAACAGAGAUAGAUAAAGGGAAGGUAAAUGUGUGUAAGCCUUAUGGAGCAAUUUAGCCAUUUUCACUGAGAACUUAAAAAUAUUCAUACUGAUAAUUAUAAUCACUUUCAAAAUGUAUUCCUAGGGAAUAAAACUGGCAGUUGUACAGAGAUGUAUGUAGGAGGACAGCCAUUGUAGCAUUUGGUAAUAGCAAA